rnacentral:tRNA from 1 species
GCACAGCAUAUUUAUAAUGGUCAAGGACUGAAAAUCCUCGUGUCGGCGGUUCAAAUCCGCCUCCUGGCA